rnacentral:pre_miRNA from 1 species
GGUGUUGAUUUGCGUCAGGAGUUUUCUGUUGAGGCUGAGCAAGUAGAAGCGAGGAGGCAUCGCGGCAGAAGAAAUCCUGAUCAUCAAGCGC